rnacentral:lncRNA from 1 species
GUUCUAUAUAAUAAGGAUGUUCUUAUCCCGGGCAUAAAUACAAUGCCGUAUUUGGCAAAACCUUUUCAACUUUUGAUCUUCAGUGCUGUACAACUUUGUACCUUUUUCACUUUCGAUCUUUUAUAUCUGGGUGUUAUGUAUUCGGGUUUAGUUUUCUGUAAUUAGUUAAUACUUCAGUUUCUUUAUGUAUAUCUCUUUCAUAUUCAUUUGAUAAAAUUUACUGUUUGC